rnacentral:lncRNA from 1 species
AUAAAAUUGGUUCUCUCUUUACCACGUGAGUGCCACACGAGCGGCAAGUGAGGAGAAAUAUUAAGUUGAACACGGUGAGUCAUUUUAUCGUGUUUAGACAAUAUAAACGAUUUACCGUGUCUAAACGGUGACGAUGAAUGCUUCCCCACACGCACCUCCUCUCUCUCUUCCCCCAACCACCCCUCCCCCUUUAGAGCCCUUUCUCUUUCUCUCUCACCCCUCUCUAGACCUCUCUUCCUCUCUCUCCAUCUCCGUUUCCCUCUCUUCCUGUCAACUACCCUUCAAAGCCAGACCUCCCCUGUAGCACACUGAACUUUAGCAAAUUGCAAGGUUCCAGUGUUAGAAUAGU